rnacentral:rRNA from 1 species
AGUGUUUACCUAAGCGUGCGCUAACCGCAAGGAGGCAGCCGACCACGGUAAGGUCAGCGACUGGGGUG